GAAAGGCUAUGGUAAAUGAAUGACGUUUGAGCGAGGUGUGAAAUGUGAAGGUACAAAAUUAACUGCAAAAUUAUUGAAGGAGCUAAAUUGUGUAAAGAGAACCUAUAUAUACUUAUCAGAAUAUGCAAUGCAGAUGUAACCCAGGGAAUUGCUUCCAAGCUCUAGGAAAUCCUUCAGACUGCCCUGGAAAGGAGCGCUGAAUGUGUCUGUAGUUUCAGUGUUUGGCCAGUGCACAGUCCUGAGGGCCUUUACUAUGGCUACAAGACCAGAUAUUCAUCCCCAAGGCAC